UCAUAUGCUUGUCUCAAAGAUUAAGCCAUGCAUGUCUAAGUAUAAGCAAUUAUACCGUGAAACUGCGAAUGGCUCAUUAAAUCAGUUAUCGUUUAUUUGAUAGUACCUUACUACUUGGAUAACCGUGGUAAUUCUAGAGCUAAUACAUGCUAAAAACCCCAACUUCGGGAGGGGUGUAUUUAUUAGAUAAAAAACCAAUGCCCUUCGGGGCUCCUUGGUGAUUCAUGAUAACUUCUCAGAUCGCAUGGCUUUACGCCGGCGACGGUUCAUUCAAAUUUCUGCCCUAUCAACUUUCGAUGGUAAGGUAGUGGCUUACCAUGGUUUCAACGGGUAACGGGGAAUUAGGGUUCGAUUCCGGAGAGGGAGCCUGAGAAACGGCUACCACAUCCAAGGAAGGCAGCAGGCGCGCAAAUUACCCAAUUCCGAUACGGAGAGGUAGUGACAAUAAAUACUGAUACAGGGCUCUUUUGGGUCUUGUAAUUGGAAUGAGUACAAUUUAAACCUCUUAACGAGGAACAAUUGGAGGGCAAGUCUGGUGCCAGCAGCCGCGGUAAUUCCAGCUCCAAUAGCGUAUAUUAAAGUUGUUGCAGUUAAAAAGCUCGUAGUUGAACCUUUGGCCUGGCUGGCAGGUCCGCCUCACCGCGUGCACUUGUCCGGCCGGGCCUUUUCUUCUGGAGAACCGCAUGCCCUUCACUGGGUGUGUUGGGGACCAGGACUUUUACUUUGAAAAAAUUAGAGUGUUCAAAGCAGGCCUUUGCUCGAAUACGUUAGCAUGGAAUAAUAGAAUAGGACGUGCGGUCCUAUUUUGU
rnacentral:rRNA from 1 species